UACGUAGGGGGCAAGCGUUGUCCGGAUUUAUUGGGCGUAAAGGGUGCGUAGGCGGCGCGGUAAGUCGGGUGUGAAAUCUCGGGCUUAACUCCGAAACUGCAUUCGAUACUGCCGUGCUUGAGGACUGGAGAGGAGACUGGAAUUUACGGUGUAGCGGUGAAAUGCGUAGAUAUCGUAAGGAAGACCAGUGGCGAAGGCGGGUCUCUGGACAGUUCCUGACGCUGAGGCACGAAGGCCAGGGGAGCAAACGGG
rnacentral:rRNA from 1 species